rnacentral:rRNA from 1 species
UACGGGGGGGGCAAGCGUUGUUCGGAAUUACUGGGCGUAAAGGGCUCGUAGGCGGCCAACUAAGUCAGACGUGAAAUCCCUCGGCUUAACCGGGGAACUGCGUCUGAUACUGGAUGGCUAGAGUGUGGGAGAGGGAUGCGGAAUUCCAGGUGUAGCGGUGAAAUGCGUAGAUAUCUGGAGGAACACCGGUGGCGAAGGCGGCAUCCUGGACCGGCAUUGACGCUGAGGAGCGAAAGCCAGGGGAGCAAACGGG